rnacentral:lncRNA from 1 species
CCACAACAAAUAAAAUAACUAAAAUAAAAUAAAAUAAAAUAAAGAAGUUAAUUUUUUAUAUAAGUCCCUGCAAAUAUAGUUAACGACAAAUUUAUUUCUAUAAAGUUCAACUUUCAUAUAUUUUUCUAACAAAAAUUCUAAUGUUUUCAAUACAUUUCUGCCGCUAGAAUCCAUUUGAAAAUUUUAGUUAAUCAUAGGUUAAAUACUUAAUUCUAGUUUUUUUUUUAUAUUUUUAUCUUUUAAUAUUAUACUGUUAUGACUUUUGGAGGGAUAUAUUUGUGAUGACAAAAUUAAAAAUAUAAAUAGUUCUCUGACGAUUAUCUAAAGGUAACAAACCAUAGGAAUAUAUUUGAAAAUAUCAUGACAGUUGAACCAAUUUUGCAGGAACCAAUUUUGCAGGAACAACAUAUGAAAGUUGAACUUUGUAGAGAUAUAUUUGUCAUUCAUUAUAUUUAUAGUGACCUGUAUGAAAUUAAUCCAAAAAAAUUAUUGCACAAAAUUUUUAAUUUUAAUUUAUUCGGCGAAUUAUUAAUCCUAUUCUAAGACCCAAAAUUGGUUUGCUAAUCUCUAGGGUGAAAAAUAUUUUAUUUUCCCGGAUAAUAUUUUUUUAAAAAAAUAAAAUUACUAAAAGCCCAAAAGAAAAUUAUUUUAUUUUUUAAGUUAAUAUAUGUAUAUACUUUUUUUUAUGUAAGAGUUAUUAUUGUUGAGUUAGGGGGUCUACAAAAAUAUAUUUUUUUGAAUCCACUAAUAGUCGAAAGAAAAAAAAAUUCUUUAAAUUGUCUUGACAUGCGGGAUCUAAUACCUACAUGGUGAUGGCAAUAGAUUCUGACGUCUUAAAUGAAUAUUUUAAGGAAUCUUUUUGCACAAUUUUUGUUUUUUUUUUUUUUUUGUUUUUUGCCUGAAAGUUGGCCUGCAUAAGGAACCAACUUACUAACAGUAGUAACUCACAGUCACAGUAAUAACUUUUUAAUGAGAACCAGUCCACUAUUCCAUUAGAUAAAGUAAAAUUCAUCUGACGAAUCAGCCUUAAUACCAAAUGUAAAUAAUUUAACACGCGGCACAAAAUACUUACUCUUCCACUCCCGGCAUUUGUUACUAUAGCUCUUGAUCCUUAUAUUUUAAUUCUGACUAUUAGGGUGCCACAGCGUGGCUUUUGAAAUAGCUUUUAGUUGAAUAUUUCAUUAAAUAUACUGUAAUGCGUAAAUAUUUCGCUUAUUUUCGUACAGAAACUAUAAGUUUGUUUAAAAGGAGAGAAUAGGUUGGGUUAUGAUUUUUGCAUUUCCAAAAAAAAAAAAAAAAAAAAAAAUUGAGAGAAAUAUAUCUCUAUGGUCUUGUUUGGAUAUAUGUAUAUUUUAUUUAAUAUACUUCUUCACCUUAUUCAAAAGAGUAUAUAUAGUAUUUAAUAAAGAAGGCGUAUAGACAUCUUGAAUGGAUAUUAUAUUCUGCAUUCAAGAUAUUUUUUUGGAAUCAGAUAAAUCAUAUAACGCGAAUAUUUUUAAGUAGUAAAAAUCAAACUCCUAAGUUUUAAUUAUAUAAGAAUAGUUUCCGACAAAAUAGCUUAUUAUUGCAUAUAUACAUUUUCACUUCGACCCCUCGUGGGCCAAUAAUGUUUUAGAGGGGAUCUCAGCAUUAACGUGUGAAACACACAAGCAUCCCUUAAGGUACUUCUCAUUUCUAUCAAAAAUUUUUCUUUACAUAAUAAAAAAAAACUUCAAAGAUCAUUCCCGUAGUUUCACAUUUUCUUACUUUAACAUCAUAUGAUUUAAAGUGUAUCAAUUUAGUGCCAUGUGGUUUUAUUUUUAUAUUUUUAUUAUCGAUUUCACUAAUUUUUUUUGUUAAAUAAAGUAAAUAUUCGAUAAAUCUAGAUGGAGUAUCUGAAAUUUUUUGUACAUAAUUUAACAAAAUAUUAACGAAAAAAAUGACGAAAAGAUAAAAAUGAAACCAGUAGAUACUAACUCGAUACACUUUAAACCAUAGGGUACUAAAGUGAAAAAGUACGAAACCACAGUAAUGGUAUUUGAAGUUUACCCNAGGGAGUGGGCGGCGGGGAUGGUGGCGGCGGCGGCGGCGGCGGCGCUGGUGAUACCGGAGGUGGCGGAGGCGGCGCAGCCGGGGAUAUCGCCGUCGCUGAAGAACUUCCUGCUGAGCAUCGUGGCCGGCGGCGUCGUGCUCGGCGUGCUGGUCGGCGCCGUCAUCGCCGUCGCCAACUUCGACCCCGUCAAGCGGACCUAGACCUCCUGAUCUCAUGCACCGACUCGUCAUCACCACCACCACCACUCCGCUCCCCCUCUCCUCUCUCCUCCUCCUCCUCUCAAAUUGUUCGGAUUCGAUGUGUAAUUUGUGUAAGCUAUUUUGGACCCUUUUGUAAAAUGCUGUUUCAUUGUUUCAUCUUCACGCGCCUCCUUGCACUCACCACAACCAAUAAAAUAACUAAAAUAAAAUAAAAUAAAAUAAAAUAAAGAAGUUAAUUUUUUAUAUAAGUCCUUGUAAAUAUAGUUAAUGACAAAUUUAUUUCUAUAAAGUUUAACUUUCAUAUAUUGUUCUAACAAAAAUUCUGAUGUUUUCAAUAUGUUUCUGCCGCUAGAAUCCGUUUGAAAAUUUUAGUUCGUCAUAGGUUAAAUAUUUAAUUCUAGUUAUUUUUUUAUAUUUUUAUCUUUUAAUAUUAUACUGUUAUGACUUUUGGAGGGAUAUAUAUGUGAUGACAAAAUUAAAAAUAUAAAUAGUUCUCUAACAAUUAUCUAAAGGUAACAAACCAUAGGAAUAUAUUUGAAAAUAUUAUGAAAGUUGAACCAAUUUUGCAGGAACUAAUUUUGCAGGAACAACAUAUGAAAGUUGAAACUUUGUAGGGAUAUAUUUGCCAUUCACUAUAUUUAUAGUGACCUGUAUGAAAUUAAUCCAAAAAAAUUAUUGCACAAAAUUUUUAAUUUUAAUUUAUUCGGCAAAUUAUUAAUCCUAUUCUAAGACCCAAAAUUGGUUUGCUAAUCUCUAGGG